rnacentral:rRNA from 1 species
UACGGAGGGGGCUAGCGUUGUUCGGAAUUACUGGGCGUAAAGCGCACGUAGGCGGCUUUGUAAGUUAGAGGUGAAAGCCCGGGGCUCAACUCCGGAACUGCCUUUAAGACUGCAUCGCUUGAAUCCAGGAGAGGUGAGUGGAAUUCCGAGUGUAGAGGUGAAAUUCGUAGAUAUUCGGAAGAACACCAGUGGCGAAGGCGGCUCACUGGACCGGCAUUGACGCUGAGGUGCGAAAGCGUGGGGAGCAAACAGG